rnacentral:rRNA from 1 species
CAAAAACAUGUCCUCUUGCAUAAAUUAAUAGGAGGUUUGGCCUGCCCAGUGAUAAAAUAAUAUUUAACGGCCGCGGUAUAUUGACCGUGCAAAGGUAGCAUAAUCAUUAGUCUUUUAAAAGGGGGCUGGAAUGAAAGGUUUGACGAGGUAUUAACUGUCUCAUUUUAUUUGAUUUUAAAAUUUAAUUUUUUGGUCAAAAGGCCAAAAUACAAUUGGAAGACGAGAAGACCCUAUAGAGCUUUAUAUUAAAUUGAAUAAUAUUAUUUAUAUUAUUUGGAUUAUUUAUGCUAGUAUUUUGUUGGGGUGACNAAAAUAUAUAAUUAACUUUUUUAUUUAUAUAACAUAGAUUUAUGAUUUCUAGAUCCAUUAUUAUUGAUUGUUAGAUUAAGUUACCUUAGGGAUAACAGCGNAAUCCNCCCCCAGAGUUCAUAUUUACGGGUAGGGCUUGCGACCUCGAUGUUGGAUUAAGAUAAUAAUUAGGUGUAGCCGCUUAAUUUAUAGGUCUGUUCGACCUUUAAAUUCUUACANGAUCUGAG